CCUCCUUUUAUUUAUUUUUUCUACCCACUCAAAACACAACAUGUGUACUCUUCUUAGUUUUAAGAAAAUAUCUUAAUUAAGAUGUUUAUCUUAGCUAAGAUUUGUUGAUCUCAUUAAAUUUAAUCACUUUUAUACUUAAGAAUUAGCUAAGAAUUGUCUAAGAACCAAGGUUGGAGUUGCUCUAAAGUCACAACGUAUUUCUGACUUCCACGUCUUCUAUCUAUUUACAAUUUACAAAAUCAAUCAAGCUUUUCAAAUGCGGUUUAAAAUUGAUUAAA
rnacentral:sRNA from 1 species